rnacentral:rRNA from 1 species
CUUGUUCUCUCCGAGACGGAUCCCGAGUAGUGCGGGGCACGUGAAACCCCGUAUGAAUCCGGCAGGACCAUCUGCCAAGGCUAAAUACUCCCUGGCGACCGAUAGUGAAGCAGUACCGUGAGGGAAAGGUGAAAAGCACCCCGGAAGGGGAGUGAAAUAGAUCCUGAAACCGUGUGCUUACAAGAAGUCAGAGCCCGAUCUAGGGGUGAUGGCGUGCCUUUUGUAGAAUGAACCGGCGAGUUACGUUCCCGUGCAAGGUUAAGGUGAAGAGCUGAAGCCGCAGCGAAAGCGAGUCUGAAUAGGGCGAAUGAGUACGUGGACGUAGACCCGAAACCGGGUGAUCUACCCCUGUCCAGGGUGAAGGUGCGGUAACACGCACUGGAGGCCCGAACCCACGCAUGUUGAAAAAUGCGGGGAUGAGGUGGGGGUAGCGGAGAAAUUCCAAUCGAACCCGGAGAUAGCUGGUUCUCCCCGAAAUAGCUUUAGGGCUAGCCUCGGAAAUAGAAUCGUGGAGGUAGAGCACUGAUUGGGUGCGGGGCCCGCAAGGGUUACCAAGCUCAGUCAAACUCCGAAUGCCAUAGAUUUAGUUCCGGGAGUCAGACAGUGAGUGCUAAGAUCCAUUGUCGAAAGGGAAACAGCCCAGACCAUCAGCUAAGGUCCCCAAGUGUGUGUUAAGUGGGAAAGGAUGUGGAGUUGCACAGACAACCAGGAUGUUGGCUUAGAAGCAGCCACCAUUGAAAGAGUGCGUAAUAGCUCACUGGUCGAGUGACUCUGCGCCGAAAAUGUAACGGGGCUAAACACACCACCGAAGCUAUGGCUUGAUGCUUGCAUCAGGGGUAGGGGAGCGUUGAAUGCGGGUUGAAGGUGUACCGUAAGGAGCGCUGGACUGCAUUCAAGUGAGAAUGCCGGUAUGAGUAACGAAAAGAUCUGUGAGAAUCAGAUCCGCCGAAAGCCUAAGGGUUCCUGAGGAAGGUUCGUCCGCUCAGGGUAAGUCGGGACCUAAGGCGAGGCCGAUAGGCGUAGUCGAAGGACAACAGGUCGAAAUUCCUGUACCACCGUAAUCCGUUAUGAGCGAUGGGGUGACGCAGUAGGGUAGUGACGCGGACUGAUGGAUGUCCGUCUAAGCAGUGAGGCUGGUGUGUAGGCAAAUCCGCACAUCGU